AUCCUCGAUUUGCUGCGGGCAGAUGAAGUGGAUAUGCGCAUCAAAGCCACCCGGAGUAAGGAUCUUGCCUUCUCCGGCGAUGAUCUCGGUGCCCGGACCGAUGAUGAUAUCGACACCCGAUUGCGUGUCUGGGUUACCCGCCUUGCCUAUGGCGGCAAUCAAGCCAUCGCGCAGGCCGACAUCCGCCUUGGUGAUCCCUUGAUGAUCGACGAUCAGCGCGUUGGUGAUGACGGUAUCCAUCGCACCCCCGGCGCGGGGGAUCUGGCUCUGGCCCAUCCCGUCGCGGAU
rfam:Roseovarius sp. TM1035 1101493006653, whole genome shotgun sequence.